rnacentral:rRNA from 1 species
CUACGGGCGGCACCAGGCGAGAAAACUUUGCAAUGUGCGAAAGCACGACAAGGUUAAUCCGAGUGGUUUGUGCUAAACGAACCUUUUGUUAGUCCUAGAAACACUAACGAAUAAGGGGUGGGCAAGUUCUGGUGUCAGCCGCCGCGGUAAAACCAGCACCUCGAGUGGUCAGGAUGAUUAUUGGGCCUAAAGCAUCCGUAGCCGGCUCUGUAAGUUUUCGGUUAAAUCUGUACGCUUAACGUACAGGCUGCCGGGAAUACUGCAGAGCUAGGGAGUGGGAGAGGUAGACGGUACUCGGUAGGAAGGGGUAAAAUCCUUUGAUCUAUUGAUGACCACCUGUGGCGAAGGCGGUCUACCAGAACACGUCCGACGGUGAGGGAUGAAAGCUGGGGGAGCAAACCGGAUUAGAUACCCCAGUAGUC